GGCAUUUUUCGGGCCACCAAAAGUCCGGUAGCGGUGAAGGACCCGGAUAUAUAAGCCCUGGGCGCGCUCGUGCUCAGCCUUUGGGUCCUGGCUGUGGAAGAAGAAGGAAUUGAUGUACAAGGCUUUAGCAUUUACACAGAUUAACGCUCUGAAUUGAUAAUGGAGGGUUUAUUUGGAGAGCUCUGUGGUCAGAGUCAUGCUGCAGAGCGCGAGGGACGAGCGGCACGUGAUCCGCGGGUCAGGUGCUCAGCACGUGGCCAGGAGCUUGGCCUCGUUGCGGUCCUGUUCGUCUCUGUGCAGAAAAAGUGGGGUUAGGUAGUGAAUCUGCAGAGCCUACCUCCGGAGAAGCUGUUCGGGGAAGAGUAAAGCUGCAAAGAGCAGAUGCAGAACAGUGUGGAGUCUGCAGCUGCGAGCUGAUGGCACCUCAGCAUGGUCUUUCUGCUGGACAUAGCUCUUCUGGCUCGUCUGCACACAGCUGGUCUCUCCAUGUCUGCAUGACUGUAGCAGCCCCAGCUGGAUGACCUUCAUGAACAUAAAGCAGGUGUGUAACUGCAGAGGUGGCACUCCCAACACUGAAGAUCCUAGUCUGUCAUCUGAUGGAAGCAUCAAGCCGGAGCAGUGCACAUCUUCCAUUGCUUUAAGCAACUUGUCUUCAUCUGUGUGAAUGUUGAACUUUUUUUUUUAAACCACUGUAUUUAAGGACAAUAAAGGUUGACCACACACGA